rnacentral:lncRNA from 1 species
GAGCAAUGGCCGAUACAAAGGUGUUCUCCACCGAGCAACAGUUAACUCAGAGAAAAAGCGCCUAUCCAUUGCCAGCCUUCUUAGUCUAGCUCUAGGUAAAAAAGUUAGACCUGCACCAGCACUUGUCGAUGAACAACAUAUCUUGUCCUACAAAGAAGGAGGCUUCAGUGAUUUCCUUGACUUCAUUUCUGGAGAAGAUAUUGUGGAAGCAAAGUACAUAGACAAAUUAAAAAUAAAUCCAUGACGAUAAUAGUCCAUGGACAGCAGAGCAGGGCAUACACGAAUUCUCAUUUUUAGUCUUCACACUCCAUGUCAUACAAUCUGUUUGCACUUGUUAAAGUGCAAAGGUUAUAACCAGUAGCCAUCUUUCCUAUGUACUUUGUUCAAACAACGCUGGUGAGAGGUUCUUCUUUCUUCAACUUUUUUUUCUUUUUUUUUUGAAAAAGAAAAAUAAGGGCUCUUCUUUCUUCAUGCUAGGAGGCCUCACUGUGAAAAAUAAAUUUGGAACAGACUUUACCAGUCAUUCCAUCUUAAUUAGGGUUCCCUCAAGGUCACUUAUGAUUUAAGGAUCCAUAAUGUUUGCACCACCAACAAAAUUAAGAUGCAUCAUCAGGAUCUUCACUAAAUCCAAUGAUAUACCUCGGUUAGAAGCCAACAACUGGAAAAUUCAAAUAACUUCCAAAUUGGAAAAGAGUUCUAAUAUUCACAUCUAAUCCAGUUUAAGGCAAAUGUAGGUCAUACCAUAAGUUCAGAACUCAAGCCACAUUCAUCACUGGUAGACAGCUAGACGCGCUUAUAGGAGCAUGUGCUCUCACAGAAGGUAACAUUUUGAUGGUAAAUUGACACAGAAUGUUUAGCUAAGACCUUAAACUAAUUAGACAUGCAAAGAACAUUAUAUUGAUUUACAACCACAACCAUAUAAGGCCAAAAUGACCUUCCAACAAUACUAUCUGUAAACAUAGCGCAGAAAUAGCCAGCACAACACCUGCUCUCAUAUUAAUAUUAUCAUUUUUUUAUUCUUUCUGGUUUUGGGUUGAGAAGUUACCAUGGUAAACUAACUGGGACACAUGGCUUCAAACUCAAGUUCCAUGACUCAGGUAAUGCUCAGAUAUGAUACCCAAUGCUAACUACCAUAUAUUAUUGUUUAUCAGGGUAGACCUCGCUAAUGUUCAGACAUCCAAGCUGUUUUUUCUCCAACAUUAUCCACUCGUUUCAAACCUCCUUUAGACUAACUUGAAAUUAUUGCAAAAUCAAGGAAUAAAUUUUCAGGUGAAUACAUCUGAAUUUGUUUAACUAAAUUGGUUAUUAUACGUAGAUUUGAUUUCCUAUUGCACUAAAUAGCUGCAAUCAUCACCUUUGUUAAUCAGAUAACAUGGCAAACUUGCGAUGCUUUCCACCUCCUAAAAGGUUAUCUCCAUGCAUCAUCAGAAUCCGUUGUUAAUGUUUCUCUAAAUGAACAUCUGCAGUUUGUUUAUCUUAAUUGUUUCUAUUUACUUCCAAUUAAUUCAUUAUAUCACCACAUGACAUAUAGGAUUCAGUGAUCGUUAGUCCAUAAUUCAAGCUGAUAACUUAUCAUUUCCUCCAUAGAGUGCAAGCUUAUCUCUUUAGAAAUAAGCAUGAAAUAUCCUCAGAUCUCGUAACAAAACCGUCAUCUUUCCCCUAUUUUUCUCAAGAGAAAAUUUUACCUUGACAAUUGAUUUAAAAUAUAGCAUGAAUUUCUGUUUUUACCCAUUCAGAUAGGCAGUGAAAUCAAAUUCCUCCCUUUUUGGUGCAAUUAGUCGACUAUCGAGUUAUAUCUAGUCAACACCAAAUUAUAAUCUCAACUAUCCUUUUCUGUCCGGUUUUACUAAUUUCUCAAAGAGGAUAAUGGAAAACCAUUAAAGGCCAAAAAACAUCGGAUUAUUCAAGGAACAAGACGUGGUAAUCAAAUUUCAAGUGAUUAAUCAUUCAUUUUCCUCAGGGAAGAAAGGUAUAGGAUUUCUAAUUUUUUCAGCUGUUGACGCCAAUUUUUAGAAAUUCAGAUUCUAGUUCAAUUUUAAGCAUUUAAAAAUUAUGAAAUCGAAUUCCCUCGCUAAUUCAGUAUUAUAACGUAGUUAAACAAAUAAAAAUCAGCUAUUUGAAGUUGCUAAAACGAUUGCUCGAUUUCUUCUCGAUCUGAUGGUUAACUCUUAUGUUUGAUUUGCAUAUAAUCUCAAGAUAUACGAAUAGAAACAAAUAAACUUGCAGAUAUACAUGAAUCUAACUAUAAUUAGUAAAGAAUUUAAUACACAAAAAAAUCAUUAAAAAUACAGAAAAUUUCAACCGAUUCGAGGCACAAAAAAAAAACGCGGGAAAAACACUUACGAAGGGAAGUGAAAAUUGAUUCAAAAAAUUAGCCGUAACUCUCUGCCUUUUUCAUACGUCUCUGAUCUUCUCUGUCCCUACCGCUAAGCCUCUCCUCCAAUUUUACUUUUUUCUGAUUUUCAAUUUUCAGCGAAGGGGGCUUCGGAAAUUCGGAGAGAGGUGGAUUAGUUUCCUGCUCCGCGGGUUUACCGUAUGCCUUUCAAUUCUGGUCCUUUAGUUAGCCACGUGUCUAUCUGACGGCUCACGUUUUUAUAGAUUUUGGCGCAGUUUUUGAUUGUUUGCGAAGAUCAAAUUCAAAUAUAUUUAUUUUGUCGAAAAAAUUAAUUUUCAAUUAAUGCAGCAAACACCACCUAAUAAACAAUUUUAGAAAACAUUUCUAAAAGAUAAAAAAAAAUCACCAAGUUCCUAAGGGGCAGAAGUGGUCAACUUCCAGCGCACUGUCUUCUGGUCACUGUUUUCCAAUUAAUUUGAUUCUCUGUUUAAGGAAAAAAAAACUAUUGAACAUAUUGUUAAUCAUUACAACUAUCAUUACAUCUCAAAAUAUUUACAUCAUAUCAAAUUAAAUUGCUUAAUAAUAAAUGCUUUCAACUUGUUCUGAUCCCACUUUAUACAUCAAAAUUUCAUCAAUACCAUAUUUGUUAAUUUGUAUGAAAUUAAAAGGAAAUUUUUGUUUUAAUUAGGAACGACGAGAAGAUGAUAGAGAGGAAAGAGAAAAAAAAAAAAAAAAAAAAAAAAAAAG